rfam:Schistosoma haematobium scaffold1091_5, whole genome shotgun sequence.
AUCCAGCUGACGAGUUCCGAAUAGAAUGAAAGGCGUAUCCUGGAU